CCGAGCUGCCGAAGGGCCUUCUCUCUCAUUUCCCGGCCUUUCAGUGGUUUCAAAAUUCAGAUUGCAAGUUUCGGCAUUCGAUGAAACCGUAGCUUGCCAAAUCGCGAUCGUUUUGGGACUUUGUUAUUCUCUACGCCAAAUCGCGAUUCAGAUUGCCUUUUGAUUUCUCCUUGCACGCAGACAACAAGGCUUGUCUUCUCAGCUUCAGUUUCUGAUUGUCCUGCCGUUGAUACUAUUUUCGGUGGAAGCUGUGAAGAAUCGGAGGAAAGCUAGUGUGGUUCAUUUGAUCUGGGAUCGAUAAUAUCGAGGAUAUGGAGGGAAAUCAGACUUCUGGCUGCCACAAAGCCAGUCAUUGCAUCAAUGGUUGAUGUGGCGGCUAGUGGAGGAUACUACAUGGCAAUGGGAGGAGGAGUUGUAGUGGCAGAGAAUCUUACUUUAACUGGUUCAAUUGGAGUUGUUUUAGGGAAGUUUAACUUGGGCAAACUGUAUGAGAAGAUUGGCUUCAAUAAAGAGAUCAUAUCAAGAGGAAGGUUUGCAGAGCUUACUGCAGCUGAACAGCGACCACUCAGGAUAUUAUGUCUUCUCCGUCAAUCUCCUCACUUCUCUUGACUGUUGAUAACUCUCACUUUCUUUUCCUGUUAAGACUUUCCUUGUAAUAUUUCUCUUGACUGAUAUUAUGGGAUUGUUUGGUCU